rnacentral:rRNA from 1 species
AUUGUUGGGGAGCAAAGUGGGGCACGCGUGCCUAAUUGCAUUUACCCUUCGAAUAAGGACCGGCUAAUUCCGUGCCAGCAGCCGCGGUAAUACGGAAGGUCCAGGCGUUAUCCGGAUUUAUUGGGUUUAAAGGGAGUGUAGGGGUCUGUUAAGCGUGUUGUGAAAUUUAGGUGCUCAACAUUUAACUUGCAGCGCGAACUGGCGGACUUGAGUGCACGCAACGUAUGCGGAAUUGAUGGUGUAGCGGUGAAAUGCUUAGAUAUCAUGACGAACUCCGAUUGCGAAGGCAGCGUACGGGAGUGUUACUGACGCUUAAGCUCAGGUGCGGGUAUCGAACAGGAUUAGAU